ACGGGAGGCAGCAGUGGGGAAUAUUGGACAAUGGAGGCAACUCUGAUCCAGCGACGCCGCGUGAGUGAAGAAGUAUUUCGGUAUGUAAAGCUCUAUCAGCAGGGAAGAUGAUGACGGUACCUGACUAAGAAGCCCCGGCUAACUACGUGCCAGCAGCCGCGGUAAUACGUAUGGUGCAAGCGUUAUCCGGAUUUACUGGGUGUAAAGGGAGCGUAGACGGCAUGGCAAGCCAGAUGUGAAAGGUGGGGGCUCAACUCCCAAGCUGCAUUUGGAACUGUCAAGCUAGAGUAUCGGAGAGGUAAGUGGAAUUCCUAGUGUAGCGGUGAAAUGCGUAGAUAUUAGGAGGAACACCAGUGGCGAAGGCGGCUUACUGGACGAUAACUGACGUUGAGGCUCGAAAGCGUGGGGAGCAAACAGGAUUAGAUACCCUGGUA
rnacentral:rRNA from 1 species